CGGCUCGUAGUCGGAUUUCGGGGCGGGCCGACCGGUCUGCCGAUGGGUAUGCACUGGCCGGCGCGUCCUUCCACCCGGAGACCGCGCCUACUCUUAACUGAGCGGGCGCGGGAGACGGGUCUUUUACUUUGAAAAAAUCAGAGUGUUUCAAGCAGGCAGUCGCUCUUGCAUGGAUUAGCAUGGGAUAAUGAAAUAGGACUCUGGUGCUAUUUUGUUGGUUUCGAACACCGGAGUAAUGAUUAACAGGGACAGUCAGGGGCACUCGUAUUCCGCCGAGAGAGGUGAAAUUCUCAGACCAGCGGAAGACGAACCACUGCGAAAGCAUUUGCCAGGGAUGUUUUCACUGAUCAAGAACGAAAGUUAGGGGAUCGAAGACGAUCAGAUACCGUCGUAGUCUUAACCAUAAACCAUGCCGACUAGGGAUUGGAGGAUGUUCCAUUUGUGACUCCUUCAGCACCUUUCGGGAAACUAAAGUCUUUGGGUUCCGGGGGGAGUAUGGUCGCAAGGCUGAAACUUAAAGGAAUUGACGGAAGGGCACCACCAGGAGUGGAGCCUGCGGCUUAAUUUGACUCAACACGGGGAAACUUACCAGGUCCAGACAUUGUGAGGAUUGACAGAUUGAGAGCU
rnacentral:rRNA from 1 species